rnacentral:rRNA from 1 species
AUUGAACGCUGGCGGCAGGCCUAACACAUGCAAGUAGAACGAGUGGCGGACGGGUGAGUAAUGUCUGGGAAACUGCCUGAUGGAGGGGGAUAACUACUGUAAACGGUAGCUAAUACCGCAUACCAUCAGAUGUGCCCAGAUGGGAUUCGCUUGUUGGUGGGGUAACGGCGCACCAGGGCGACGAUCCCUAGCUGGUCUGAGAGGACGACCAGCCACACUUGAACUGAGACACGGUCCAUAUUCCUACGGAAGGCAGCAGUGGGAAAUAUUGCACAAUGGGCGCAAGCCUGGUGCAGCCAUGCCGCGUGUAUGAAGAAGGCCUUCGGGUUGUAAAGUACUUUCGGCGGGGAGGCGUUACCCGCAGAAGAAGAACCGGCUAACUCCGUGCCAGCAGCCGGGGUAAUAC